GAUGAACGCUGGCGGCGUGCCUAAUACAUGCAAGUCGAGCGAACAGACGAGGAGCUUGCUCCUCUGACGUUAGCGGCGGACGGGUGAGUAACACGUGGAUAACCUACCUAUAAGACUGGGAUAACUUCGGGAAACCGGAGCUAAUACCGGAUAAUAUAUUGAACCGCAUGGUUCAAUAGUGAAAGACGGUUUUGCUGUCACUUAUAGAUGGAUCUGCGCCGCAUUAGAUAGUUGGUAAGGUAACGGCUUACCAAGGCAACGAUGCGUAGCCGACCUGAGAGGGUGAUCGGCCACACUGGAACUGAGACACGGUCCAGACUCCUACGGGAGGCAGCAGUAGGGAAUCUUCCGCAAUGGGCGAAAGCCUGACGGAGCAACGCCGCGUGAGUGAUGAAGGUCUUCGGAUCGUAAAACUCUGUUAUUAGGGAAGAACAAAUGUGUAAGUAACUAUGCACGUCUUGACGGUACCUAAUCAGAAAGCCACGGCUAACUACGUG
rnacentral:rRNA from 1 species